rnacentral:rRNA from 1 species
AUUGAACGCUGGCGGUAGGCCUAACACAUGCAAGUCGAACGGCAGCACAGGAGAGCUUGCUCUCUGGGUGGCGAGUGGCGGACGGGUGAGGAAUACAUCGGAAUCUACUUUUUCGUGGGGGAUAACGUAGGGAAACUUACGCUAAUACCGCAUACGACCUACGGGUGAAAGCAGGGGAUCUUCGGACCUUGCGCGAUUGAAUGAGCCGAUGUCGGAUUAGCUAGUUGGCGGGGUAAAGGCCCACCAAGGCGACGAUCCGUAGCUGGUCUGAGAGGAUGACCAGCCACACUGGAACUGAGACACGGUCCAGACUCCUACGGGAGGCAGCAGUGGGGAAUAUUGGACAAUGGGCGCAAGCCUGAUCCAGCCAUACCGCGUGAGUGAAGAAGGCCUUCGGGUUGUAAAGCCCUUUUGUUGGGAAAGAAAUCCAGCUGGUUAAUACCCGGUUGGGAUGACGGUACCCAAAGAAUAAGCACCGGCUAACUUCGUGCCAGCCGCCGCCGUAA